UGAGGAAUAUUGGUCAAUGGUCGCGAGACUGAACCAGCCAAGUAGCGUGCAGGAUGACGGCCCUCUGGGUUGUAAACUGCUUUUAGUUGGGAAUAAAAGGCGGUACGUGUACCGCGUAUUGUAUGUACCAUCAGAAAAAGGACCGGCUAAUUCCGUGCCAGCAGCCGCGGUAAUACGGAAGGUCCGGGCGUUAUCCGGAUUUAUUGGGUUUAAAGGGAGCGUAGGCCGCCUGGUAAGCGUGUUGUGAAAUGUCGUUGCUCAACAACGUCACUGCAGCGCGAACUGCCGGGCUUGAGUGUGCGGAAAGCGGGCGGAAUUUGUAGGUGUAGCGGUGAAAUGCUUAGAUAUCACGAAGAACUCCGAUUGCGAAGGCAGCUCGCUGUAGCAUUACUGACGCUGAAGCUCGAAGGUGCGGGUAUCGAACAGGAUUAGAUACCCUGGUAGU
rnacentral:rRNA from 1 species